UACGGGGCGGGCAAGCGUUGUUCGGAAUUACUGGGCGUAAAGGGCUCGUAGGCGGCCAACUAAGUCAGACGUGAAAUCCCUCGGCUUAACCGGGGAACUGCGUCUGAUACUGGAUGGCUUGAGUUCGGGAGAGGGAUGCGGAAUUCCAGGUGUAGCGGUGAAAUGCGUAGAUAUCUGGAGGAACACCGGUGGCGAAGGCGGCAUCCUGGACCGACACUGACGCUGAGGAGCGAAAGCCAGGGGAGCAAACGGG
rnacentral:rRNA from 1 species